AUUGAACGCUGGCGGCAGGCCUAACACAUGCAAGUCGAGCGGAUGAAGGGAGCUUGCUCCUGGAUUCAGCGGCGGACGGGUGAGUAAUGCCUAGGAAUCUGCCUGGUAGUGGGGGAUAACGUCCGGAAACGGGCGCUAAUACGGCAUACGUCCUGAGGGAGAAAGUGGAGGAUCUUCGGACCUCACGUUAUCAGAUGAGCCUAGGUCGGAUUAGCUAGUUGGUGGGGUAAAGGCCUACCAAGGCGACGAUCCGUAACUGGUCUGAGAGGAUGAUCAGUCACACUGGAACUGAGACACGGUCCAGACUCCUACGGGAGGCAGCAGUGGGGAAUAUUGGACAAUGGGCGAAAGCCUGAUCCAGCCAUGCCGCGUGUGUGAAGAAGGUCUUCGGAUUGUAAAGCACUUUAAGUUGGGAGGAAGGGCAGUAAGUUAAUACCUUGCUGUUUUGACGUUACCAACAGAAUAAGCACCGGCUAACUUCGUG
rnacentral:rRNA from 1 species